rnacentral:rRNA from 1 species
GAUGAACGCUGGCGGCGUGCUUAACACAUGCAAGUCGAACGGAAAGGCCCUGCUUUUGUGGGGUGCUCGAGUGGCGAACGGGUGAGUAACACGUGAGUAACCUGCCCUUGACUUUGGGAUAACUUCAGGAAACUGGGGCUAAUACCGGAUAGGAGCUCCUGCUGCAUGGUGGGGGUUGGAAAGUUUCGGCGGUUGGGGAUGGACUCGCGGCUUAUCAGCUUGUUGGUGGGGUAGUGGCUUACCAAGGCUUUGACGAGUAGCCGGCCUGAGAGGGUGACCGGCCACAUUGGGACUGAGAUACGGCCCAGACUCCUACGGGAGGCAGCAGUGGGGAAUAUUGCACAAUGGGCGGAAGCCUGAUGCAGCAACGCCGCGUGCGGGAUGACGGCCUUCGGGUUGUAAACCGCUUUCGCCUGUGACGAAGCGUGAGUGACGGUAAUGGGUAAAGAAGCACCGGCUAACUACGUG